AUGGCGGUCUCACAGCUGAAUUCGAAGGCCAUCUGCAUUCUUUCAGCUCUUGGGUCUGUUAGGGAAGCAGUUCUAGUCCAGCCAUCUGGUGUCAUUCUAACUCACAAGGGCCCUUUAGAAAUCAUCCGGCUGUCUGGAUCCAUUUUGACAUCUAAUGACCAUCGAUCUCUGCGUAUUACCCUUGCUUCCGUCAAUAGUUUUGUGAUCAGUGGCAUUAUAGCUGGACCUCUCAUAGCUGAAACUCCUGUCCAGGCAAUUCUUGGAAGCUUUCACAACAGUGCAUUCUUGCCAAACAACGUACCUAGGGGAGACAUUUCGUGUUAUCCUAACACGCAAGGUGCCAUCACAAAUGGCAGCACUCUACCCAGUGAGCGUUCCAAUCCAGUAUAUGCAUCUCGUACUUCCAUGGAACGAAAUGAAUCAAGUGAGGUUGAUGUCAAGCCCUUUGUUGGACUGGUUAAUCUAAAUCCAGAAUAUGCAUCUCGUACUCCCGUGGUACAGCAUGAAUCAUAUCAGGCACUUCUUGGAAGCUUUCACAACAAUUUGUUCUCUCCAAACAACGCACCUAGGGCAGCCAUUGCGUGUUAUCCUAACACGCAAGGUGCCACCGGAAAUGGCAGCACUCUACCCAGUGAUCGUGUCAAGCCACAAUAUGCAUCUCGUACUUCCGUGGAGCAGAACGAAUCAGAUGAGGUUGAUGUCAAGCCCUUUGUUGGAUUGCUGAAUCCAAAUCCAGAAUAUGCAUCUCGUACCCCCGUGGAACGGAACGAAUCAAGCGAGAUUGAUGUCAAGCCCUUUGUCGGACUGGCUAUUCCAAAUCCAGAAUACGCACCUCGUACCCCCGUGGAGCGGAACGAAUCAAGCUAG
rnacentral:rRNA from 1 species